rnacentral:antisense_RNA from 1 species
GGGGCGGCGAGGCGAGGCCUGCGGAGCGGAGGAAGACAAACAUAAAGAUGAAGUGCUUAAUUCAAGGUCACACAAUGUCGGGGAUGGACCUCCAGAUUUCCUUACUGACCUGCAUUAUCUUGUGGAUACCUGAGUGAAUUCCACACCACCCAUUUUAUAGAUGAAACCACUGAGACAUGGAGCAACUGACUGAGUAGUCACUGCCCCACCCCUGCCUGGAGCCUCACACAUGACUCGUCUCCUCUCAGUGACCACAGGUUGGUUGAGGGGUUUAACAAGGCUAAGAAGGUGAGACGUGGUCUUGUAACACAGUGGUUAAGAAUGUGACUUUGGAGCCAGCCUGCUAGGGGCUGAAUUCUGACUCAGCCAUUUACUAACUGUGUGACCUUAGGUGGAGUCUCACUCUGUAGCCCAAGCUGGAGUGGUGUGAUCUCGACUCACUGCAACCUCCGCCUCCUGGGCUCAAGUGAUUCUCGUGCCUCAGCCUCCUGAGUAGCUGGGACUACAGGUCACAGAAUUUUCCACACUCCUUGACGGAGGUGCUUAACCCUUAUCCAUCAGCAUUCUCAGACAGCACCUCCGGUUAGGGACAGUAUCUGACCGUCCGACAUCCCUGCAGCCCCCAUGUGUCACACAGACUCAGCCUCAGGUAGAUGGUUUCCGUA